AUUAGACAAGUGUGAAAGCGCGAUCGAUGUCGCGAUGCCCCCUGCCUGCGUGCCAUAUGACAUUUGAAGCUGAAACCGCUUGUGGUGGAACACUGAAGCGUGGCGAGACGGAUGUCCUAUACAACCAUGGAACGGAAAUGGAUUGUAAUGAUGUUUUUGUUACAGUCAGAGCCAUAUCCCUUCCAUGGUUGUAUAUAAGGCCUACCUAUAUUUUAUUUCAGUCUAGGCUACUUAACAGAAUAUAUAGUGCCAGCCAACAUAACUUAUCUUUAUGGUUGAAAGUGAAACUUUAUGUUUGCUAUAUGGCUUUCUGUGGUCUACUCCGUGAUUUACGUGAUUUUCCGAGGUUGUUAGAUUGCCACAACCCCCCUAUUAUUUGAAUAAGAACAAAGAGGACUGGCUGAAGGCAUUAGGCUGAGUGCAUCAUGCAGUUGCGUAAUAUCGGCAUGGUCAGGAAUCAACUGCAUGCAUGGUGUAUCAACUGUGUGUGUGUGUGUUUUACUUCCUCUUUUCUGUAGGCCUGCAGUUUCAUGGUGUUACUAUUUCAACAGUGAGCCAAGCGUUAACAAGGACAGAACCAACCACCUGCACGAGCCUACACUUCACACAGGUGAUCUGGGCUGGUGUUUGGGAGCAAUGGGCUGCUGUUUGAGCUGCAUCUACCGGGACCCUGUGCCAGGGGACAUGGUGGAGAUCAUGGAGACGCUGUAUAGCCACUGGGUCGUAUAUGUGGGAGAUGGAUACGUGGUGCACUUCACAGUCCCAGAUUCGGCCAAGUACUUGCCGAUCUCCAAAGGUCACAUCGCACGCAGUAAGCUAGCAGAGAUGGUGGUGGGGCGAUCCCAUCGCGUCAAUAACUACCUGGACGACAGGUAUGAGCCACGGCCCACGGCCGUCAUCGUGGAGGAGGCCAACGCCUGGGUGGGCAAGCCGCUGGACUACAACCUGCUGCUGGAGAACUGCGAACACUUCGUCACUUACCUGCGCUACGGCCAUGCAGAGUCCAGACAGGUGAAACGAGGAUGUUGUGUGUGUGCCUCCUGUACCGUGGUCUGGGUAGAGAUCAUCAAAUGGUUCAAGAGAAAACAUCCGAAAGACAUGCCAGCAGAAGAGGUGGUGUGAGACGAGGAGUACCCCCCCGCAACACACACAUAUAAACACACAAACAUAUAAACACACAUAAACACACACACAAACAUAACAAACAUAUACACACACAUACUCACAGGUCUCUCAUGAAGACAGAAACAUCAUAAUGUUCAUUACCUCUUACUGCAGAUACACACACAUUUAUGAUUUGUCCUAUGAUUUUUUUCUAUUCUGUUUUUAGCACCGUCCUAAUAGCACACACACACUUAAAGGAUAAUUCCGGUAUUUAGCACUUUGAGUCCAUUUUCUGGUUUGUUUUGGAUGAACUAGAGUGGUGGACACCGACAUUUUGAUGAUGGGUCCUGUUUUGGCUUUCUGGCUCGUUUUGAAUAGCCUUUGACUGUUUCAGUCAACGGCUUUCUGGCUCGUUUUGAAUAGCCUUUGACUGUUUCAGUCAACUGUUUCAGUUGGCUGGCUAUGGGCAUGCACAAACAUAUCUUUAAAACAAAGCCGUUAAAACGUUUUAAAACGUUCGUUUACAAAACUGUGCAACUCACUGAGUGGUUAGUGGUGUUCGUUGAUUAUUAAAAACAAAUAUAUCUGCGCAAAGCACGAUUUCAAUCCGUUUUAUUUGCUAUUGUGGAACUAUUUUUUCAGAUACCUCACAACCGCAUAUAAACUUCCGCUCAAUAUUUGAGUCUGAAGCAUAGACAGCAAAAGAAGGUCUCGCGGUGGAAAGACUACAACCAAAUGUAAACAGGCCCCCUUUCUGUUUCAGUAAUAUCAACGACUAAUGAGUCUUCUAACAGAAAUCAAUGGGAUUUAACAAAACGCCAAAUAAGACAGGACAGGAACUGUAUUUCGCUGCGCUACUUGUUUUGGAACAUCAACGAACACCACUAACCACUCGUUAAAGGAGCAAAGCCUCUUACAGCCUCUGUAAGCAGCACACAAACAGGCCGCCUGAGCCAUGAACUAUUCCAUCCAAUCAACACGCUGCACUGCCUCAGAAGCACCAAUCAACACGCUGCACUGCAUCAGAAGCACCAAUCAACACGCUGCACUGCCUCAGAAGCACCAAUCAACACGCUGCACUGCAUCAGAAGCACCAAUCAACACGCUGCACUGCCUCAGAAGCACCAAUCAACACGCUGCACUGCAUCAGAAGCACAGGAGAGAGGGGUGUCAUGUCACCAAGCGGUCACUCCAACUUCAUACUAGGCCUGGUCCAAUCACACUCCAACUUCAUACUAGGCCUGGUCCAAUCACAUUCCUUCUCUCUUCUCCAUAGGGUUUCCAUCUCCUAGGACAUAACACAAACAUUUAUAACAUACAAUAAAUAUGCAAUAAAUCAUUUCCACAGA